GCUUGCUUCAGCAGCGCAUACACAAAAAAAACUGGGGAUGAUACUGAGAAGAUUAGCUUGGUCCCUUAUGCAAGGAUGACAUGCAAAUUCAUGAAGCAUCCUGUAUUUUA
rnacentral:snRNA from 1 species